CGGCCUGUGGCAUCGCUCACACGCACCGGGCCGGGGAGAGCUGGGGGUGAAGCCGCGGGCUUUGCCAUCGCCUCCCUCAGCCCCGCGUCCGCAUCCCCUCAGAGAGGCGGUGUGGUGAGGAAGGCUGCAGGUGGUCGCUGCGAGCGAGCCGGCGGACGUCCUUAGGGCCUCCCCUCGGAGCAGGGCCUGCAGCCCUCGCUCUGCACACGCUGACCCGCACCUGCACCGGGGACUCUGGGGUGCCCAGGUCUGACUGCUAGAGCCCAGGGAAAGGCAGAGGGAGGGUGCCAAGAAGGCACGGGGCUAUGCUCUUACCUGAACCACAGGAAGGGGACCGCCCUGCCCCAUCCAACCCGCAGCGGCGCUUCCAGGGGCAGGAAGUCAGCUGAGUACCAGCAAGCGGCUGCCUGGGGGAGGGGCUCAGGCCCAGGGUCAGCGGGGCUGUCUGCGGCUUCUCUCCUGGGGCCACACUCGGAAGCCUGGAGUGGGCAACCAGAGCCUGGGUGUCCACCCCGUUCCUUCACUGGCUCACAGCUGGAGACCGGCCGGCCUCAGCCUGCUGCCCUGUGUACCUGGGGGUGUCAUGUCCCCACUUCCUAGAGUUGUUGUGAUAGUUCAGUGAGCAAACACCCCCCUCCCCCCGUGCCUAGUGCCUAGUGAGCACCCAGCCUGCACUGGCGGCUCAGAUGCCCCUGGAGAGAGGCCUGGGCCCGGGACCGACUUUAUUCUCGCCAGCAGCCUGGCAUUUGCCUAGUGGUGCGACCUGCUUAGGGGAGAGCGCUGAAGUCUUAGCCAGCUCCGGGCGGCCCCUGGGAAAGCAGGGAGGCCCCGCUCCAUGCCUCACACACGGAGCGCGAGCUCUGGCUGCAGCUCCUCGGGGGGGCCCCUCGCUGGCAGGCCUGCCCAACCACAGGACCAGCGGGCUCCGGGCCAGGCAGUUACAGUAAGCCCGGCCCGCCCUUCCUCACACGGGUACCACAGUUCCCGCUCGGGUCCGAGCCCUGGUUCCCACUGAGGAGGACAAGGGGGAUCAGGGCCUCUUACCCACCCCCCCAGGAUGCCCAUCUCCCCAGCCACGUCCAGGGGCUGCCUCAUCCUGGCGGCCGCUGGCAGGGGAGGGCAGCUGGAGCGGCAUGAGUGCGGGGGGCUGACUCACGGCAGCUGGCUGGGCCUCCAGUAAUAUUCUUGGGCCUCAGCCCGGGAUUCCUGCAGGUUCCGACCAUCCCUGUGUGAGGCGGGCGCCAAGAUAUGACAGGUCGCUGGUUAACAGAUGGGGAAACUGAGGCUGGGAGAGGCGAGAGAGGAGAAGGGAACACGCCGCCCGCCAGCUGCGCAUUCCGCAGCCCUUCCAUCAGCGCCGCCCCGCGGCCUCCUCGCAGGCGGUGAGGUCAGCGCCGCGCCCGGGAUCCCGGCCCCCGCCCCGCGCCGCC